GACGAACGCUGGCGGCGUGCUUAACACAUGCAAGUCGAACGGAAAGGCCCUGCUUUUGUGGGGUGCUCGAGUGGCGAAAGGGUGAGUAACACGUUAGUAACCUUCCCUUUACUUUUGGAUAACUUCAGGAAACUGGGGCUAAUACCGGAUAGGAGCUCCUGCUGCAUGGUGUGGGUUGGAAAGUUUCGGCGGUUGUGGAUGGACUCGAGGCUUAUCAGCUUGUUGGUGGGGUAGUGGCUUACCAAGGCUUUGACGGGUAGCCGGCCUGAGAGGGUUACCGGGGUCAAGAGGACUGAGAUACGGAGCAGACGGCAAUGGGAGGCAGCAGGGGGGAAUAUGGCGCAAUAGGGGGAAGCCUGAUGCGAAAACGCCGCGAGCGGGAUGACGGCCUACGGGUUGUAAACAGAUGUCGACGGUGACGAAGAGUGAGUGACGGUAAUGGGUAAAGAAGCACCGGCUAACUACGUG
rnacentral:rRNA from 1 species